AAUGAGGUGUUUCCUGCCUUGUGAUGAAUUUUGGAGGGUAGAUUCUGAUGUGAAAAUGUAAUUCAUCAUUUAUAUCCUACUAUGGAUUCUGAAGACACUAGGAAAAAAA